GAAUUACUGGGCGUAAAGGGCUCGUAGGCGGCCAACUAAGUCAGACGUGAAAUCCCUCGGCUUAACCGGGGAACUGCGUCUGAUACUGGAUGGCUUGAGUUUGGGAGAGGGAUGCGGAAUUCCAGGUGUAGCGGUGAAAGGCGUAGAUAUCUGGAGGAACACCGGUGGCGAAGGCGGCAUCCUGGACCAACACUGACGCUGAGUGAGCGAAAGCCAGGGGAGCAAACGGG
rnacentral:rRNA from 1 species